GUGGCGGCGGUGGAUACCGUGGAGGCGGCGACAGUUACGGCGACAGUGGCAGUUACGGGGGCGGUGGCGGCGGAUAUGGGGGCGGCGGCCGCAGGAGCUACAAUGAUGAUUCCUCAGGAUACGACUCACGCCAGCAACGGUACCAGCCAUACUGAAGAGCUGCCGAACACCUUCCUAGCCACAGAAGGGAGGAUAGUUAACUGUUAUCCAAUCUGCACCUGAAGUUCCAUUUUUCUUCACUAUAUCUUAUGACUUAUGAUGCAGCUAAAGACACUUAGGAAGUCUUCUUAAGGGUGUUUAUAUGUUAGACUGUGUCAAUUAACUGUUUUUGUACCUCUUUGGAAGUGUAUUUAGGUAGUUUAAGUCACUUGUGACUAUUUGAAUUGUUUUAAAGUAAAAAGUUUCAAAGUUAGACUCCAGAGUCACAACAAUCAUACACAUUGAACUGUGCAGCAAACAGAAAACCAAAAACUAAACCUGGAGAAGUCUACCAUUGAAUCGUGUUGAACAAAAACAAACUAUUUUUACAAUAUCUCUCUAUCCCUACCUUUAGUUCCUGUGUUAUCAAUCACACUGAAUCCAUGAAAAUGUUACCAACUGUCACCGUGGAACAUAAAGCUUUACCAACACAACCUUAAGAAUCAAUGGUUUAAAUUUGCACCUUUUCUGUGUGAUGUACUCAAAGGUGGAGCUGCAAAAUUUGUUCGGAAGUUACUAGUACCAGUUUGCUAAAGAAUGAUCUUUUUACAUUUUUGAUUGUGUGACUCUAUCCUGUACGUUUCCUGAUCUCUCAAUGGUUUAUGUGGAUGAUUGAAAUGUAAAGAUAUAAUGGUGACUCUUUGGGGUUCAAUGUAUAAUGGAGCAACAACUGUAACAAUGAGAUUUGAGACUUUGAUUUGAUGUUCUUUCACCAAUAAAACCAGACUUGUCCUGUACCUUUUAAACUUGU